rnacentral:RNase_P_RNA from 1 species
CGAGCUGACCGAGUAAUCGCUGCAUUGCAGAGGAAAGUCCGGGCUCCAUAGGAAAAAGUGCCAGGUAACUCCUGGAGGUAAGUUUUAAAAGCUUACUAUGGAAAGUGCAACAGAAAAUAAACCGCCUUAGGGUAAGGUUGAAAAGGUGAGGUAAGAGCUCACCGUGUUUUUUGGUAACAAAGAACAGCUAGGUAAACCCCACUUGGAGCAAGGCCAAAUAGAGAUUUUAUAAUGUUUUCCGCAUUGAAUCUGGGUAGGCCGCUAGAAAUUCAUGGCGACAUGAGUUCGAGAUGAAUGAUUACUUCAAACAGAACCCGGCUUAUGAGUCAGCUCAAUCC